GAUCCCUGGCUGUGGAGAGGAUUCUCCCGAGCCCCUGAAAAAAAAAAAAGGUGGAGAGACUUUGAAAACUUUUCUCUCGAAAAGUCUGAGGAGGCAGAGGACGGCCCGGAGUCUCGUAGCGCACCGCCCUGGUCCCACACCCCCCGCAGCCCUAGGAGGAUCGGUGUGCUGAGCUUGUGGCCAGGAGCUCCCCGAGCCACUUUCGCGCGAGCAGCAGAAAACCUGAGCCGCGGCCCGGCGAGUGUCGGCGGCGCUCUGGGGAGGAGAGGCUGGGAAGGGGCUGCGAGAGGUACGGAGGAGACAAGCAGCCCGGGAGGGAGAAUGAACCGGGAGGUUCCUGUACUCCCCCCGCCACCCCAGAUCCUCGUGCUACUCGCAACUGCGGUCUGAGGGGCAGUGGCUUUCCCAGAGUGCACAGAGAAAUGAACCAGCGCCGGUUUUGGUGUUGGGCGAGGGGUUUCCCUCAGCUGAGCACAAAGUCAGGCUGUGUGUCCCAGAUUCUGGCCAAUGGAGAGGUCGUUGAGGGGGUGGGCUGCUGCUGAGUCCUGAGAGAUUCAAAACGCCUGGGCAGCUCAGGAAUUUCCAAAGGGGGAGAUUCUCGGCCAGGAGCUGCGGAGCAACUGCAGCUGCCCAGCAGGAGCCGGCACCCUUCUCUCACAUUCUGCUUGGGAGUCGACUCAGAGGCCUCAAAUCUCAUUACUAGCACUUUGCCCACCCUUUUCUUUUGCUUAGAUGCUACUUAAGAACGUGAGGCUGAGAGGCGGACUUGGUCAGAUCUGCCUGCGUGACAAGCUCAGGACAGGACGCUUCUGCCCUUGCAUUACUGUUGUAAAAGUUUCCACCCAGUCCCUGGUCGCACUGCGUUCCCAUCCCGGCAGAUGUGAACUCAAAAACUUCCUCCGCUGUGCAGUUUCAAUUGGCAGACACACCCUGUACCUGAAUGACUCAGAAGGAGGCAGAAUGAACAAACAACAGACCCCUGACUUCUGGGAUUUUGUGAGUUUGCCAAAAAAAAAAAAAAAAGAAGUGACAGUUAAUUCACAGCUGUUUUAAAGCAUUCAUCGACAGCGACGCACCCAAUACAUACCCACAGCUUCAACAACAGUACAGUGCAUAUAAUGUGGAAACCAAGAUAACGGUCCUCUAAGACUCCAGAGUAGAUCCUAAUUGGAUUUGAAGACUUAUUUCACUUAAAGGGGAAGAGGUAUAUUGUGUCUACCCAGCACAACAAAACGGGGGACUUGGCAUUCCCCCCCUUCUCCCGCCUCCACCCACACUAAUUUAUGCAUUCUUUAAAGCCAAAGGAAUCAAAGUGAAAUUUCACACCUAGUCUGUAUCAAGCAUGUGCUAGGUUAAUUUAACCUUACUGCUCUGUGAAGUAAGUAAGCAUUGCUGGCCAUUUUAUUGUUGAGAGAAGUGUCAUUCAGACAACUAAGGUGACUUGUAGAUUUCCCAGCUAGUGAGUGGCAGAGCUGGGUUCCAAAACCUAAAUAUUGCAAAUGCCUUGCCUUGUGGCUCAAACGCUAUCAGUCAAUAAAUAGUUAAGGAAUUGAAAUAUAUGUUCCUAGAGGGAAACAGACUUCUAGAUUUAAAGUUUUACAUUUGCUGCAUUUCUGACUGUACAAGUCUACAAAAUGCAUAUAAAAGUAUGCUAAUGAAUGUCCUUUUAAAACCACUCAUUUUCUACGUAAGCAUACAAAGUGUAUACAUAUGCAUAUUAAUGAAUGUUUUCUGAAACUUCUCAUUGUCUGCCUAUGAUAUCUCAUGUAACAUUGUACUUUUAGUAUUUGCACAUAGUGUUACACAUAUUAAUCCAUUUAAUCUGACAAGUUAGGCACUAUAAUUAUUCUAAUUUUACAAACAAGGAAAUUGACUCCCAGACAUAUUAAGCAGCUUGCUUAAUGUGGGACAGGCUGCAGACUCUUAACCACUACUCCAGACCACCAUGAUAAACCUCAAACAGGUUCAAGAAUUUCCUUGGGGAUAUCAGUUGUUUUCUUGUGAAUACCACUGGUUUUUAACAUUCAAUAUUGAUAAAGUGUUUUACAGAGUCCAAAAA
rnacentral:lncRNA from 10 species